GUCAAAGUCAUUUAGAUUGAAUUUCUUUCCUUUCUUGGUAUUUGAUUUAAACAGCAAUUCACUUUCACAACAUUCAUUAAGUUGCUGCCACAUUACUUACUUAUUAGAUAUCUGCAUAAACAAGCAUAAAAUGAUCACUGUGUAUAUAAUAGUGAUCAUCAAAUUAAGUUAGUAUCUGAUAAAUUUGGAGGUCUUUGAUGCAAUCACAGGUUAAGUAUCAUACGGCCAAAAUAUACAACUAAAUCUUUUUUUUUUUUUCUGUUUUAAAGUUGCAAAAAACUUUUGAACCCCCUGGAAUUACCUUGAUUUCUAUAUUGAUUUAUUUUUAUAAUGUGG